rnacentral:rRNA from 1 species
GUGGGGAAUUUUUCCGCAAUGGGCGAAAGCCUGACGGAGCAAUGCCGCGUGGAGGUGGAAGGCCUACGGGGUUCGUCAACUUACUUUUCUCGGAGAAGAAACAAUGACGGUAUCUGAGGAAUAAGCAUCGGCUAACUCUGUGCCAG